GAUUUCUGGUUCGGCGCACUUGGCCCGUCUCGGUUUACGGGAUUGUGUGCCGGUGUGCGCCAUCCAUCCUUCGAGAGAACACUUCUACCCUUCACUGGGUCGGGAGUGCUAUCUCGAUCUUUUACUUUGAAAAAAUUAGAGUGUUUAAAGCAGGCUUGCGCUAUGAAUACAUUAGCAUGGAAUAAUAAUUUAGGACUUUGGUCUUAUUUUGUUGGUUUCUAGGACUAAAGUAAUGAUUGAUAGGGAUAGUUGGGGGUGCUAGUAUUGGCCGGUCAGAGGUGAAAUUCUUGGAUUCGGUCAAGACUAACUUAUGCGAAAGCAUU
rnacentral:rRNA from 1 species